rnacentral:rRNA from 1 species
UACGGAGGGUGCAAGCGUUAAUCGGAAUUACUGGGCGUAAAGCGUGCGCAGGCGGUUUGUUAAGUCCGCUGUGAAAUCCCCGAGCUCAACUUGGGAAUUGCAGUGGAUACUGGCAAGCUGGAGUAUGGUAGAGGAAGGUGGAAUUCCCGGUGUAGCAGUGAAAUGCGUAGAGAUCGGGAGGAACACCAGUGGCGAAGGCGGCCUUCUGGACCAAUACUGACGCUGAUGCACGAAAGCGUGGGGAUCAAACAGG